GACGAACGCUGGCGGCGUGCCUAAUACAUGCAAGUCGAGCGCUGAAGGAUGGUACUUGUACCAACUGGAUGAGCAGCGAACGGGUGAGUAACGCGUGGGUAAUCUGCCUUUGAGCGGGGGACAACAUCUGGAAACGAAUGCUAAUACCGCAUAAAAACUUUAAACACAAGUUUUAAGUUUGAAAGAUGCAAUUGCAUCACUCAAAGAUGAUCCCGCGUUGUAUUAGCUAGUUGGUGAGGUAAAGGCUCACCAAGGCGAUGAUACCUAGCCGACCCGAGAGGGUGGACGGCCAAAUUGGGAAUGAGAAACGGCCCAAAAUCCCACGGGGAGCAGCAAGAGGGGAACUUCGGCAAUGGGGGGAAGGCUGGACGAACAAAGCCGGGUGAGUGAAGGAAGUUCUCGGAUCGUAAAACUCUGUUGGUAGGGAAGGAAGUUGGUGAGGGUGGAACGCUCAUGAAGUGACGGUAACUAAACAGAAAGCGACGGCUAACUACGUG
rnacentral:rRNA from 1 species